GACUGGAACCAUGGAGUCUUCAGAAGAGAAGAAGAAGGUUCCUGCUGUGCCAGAAACCUUCAAGAAAAAGCGAAGGAAUUUCGCAGAGCUGAAGAUCAAGCGCCUGAGAAAGAAGUUUGCCCAAAAGAUGCCUCGAAAGGCAAGAAGGAAGCUCAUCUAAGAAAAAGCUAAGCACUAUCACAAGGAAUACAGACAGAUAUACAGAACUGAGAUUCGAAUGGCUAGGAUGGCAAGAAAAGCUGGCAACUUCUAUGUACCUGCCAAACCCAAAUUAGCAUUUGUCAUCAUGAUCAUAGGUAGUAUCAAUGGUGUGAGCCAAAGGUCCGAAAGGUGCUGCAGCUUCUUCGCCUUCGCCAGAUCUUCAACAAGGCUUCAAUUAACAUGCUGAGGAUUGUGGAAUCAUAUAUUGCAUGGGGGUACCCAAACCUGAAGUCAGUAAAUGAAUUGAUCUACAAGCGUGGUUAUGGCAAAAUCAUCAAAAAACAAAUUGCCCUCACAGAUAACUCAUUGAUUGCUCAAUCUCUUAGUAAAUAUGGCAUCAUCUUCAUGGAAGAUCUGAUUCAUGAGAUCGAUACUGUUGGAAAGCGCUUCAAAGAAGUAAACAAUUUCCUAUGGCCCUUCAAGUUAUCUUCUCUGCGAGGUGGAAUAAAGAAAAAGACCACCCAUUUUGUAGAAGGUGGAGAUACUGGUAACAGGGAAGAUCAGAUCAAUAGGCUUAUUAGAAGAAUGAACUAA